rnacentral:rRNA from 1 species
UACGUAGGGUGCGAGCGUUAAUCGGAAUUACUGGGCGUAAAGGGCUCGUAGGUGGCCCACUAAGUCAGACGUGAAAUCCCUCAGCUUAACUGGGGAACUGCGUCUGAUACUGGAUGGCUUGAGUUUGGGAGAGGGAUGCGGAAUUCCAGGUGUAGCGGUGAAAUGCGUAGAUAUCUGGAGGAACACCGGUGGCGAAGGCGGCAUCCUGGACCAACACUGACACUGAUGAGCGAAAGCCAGGGGAGCAAACAGG